UACGUAGGGUGCGAGCGUUAAUCGGAAUUACUGGGCGUAAAGCGUGCGCAGGCGGUUUUGUAAGCCAGAUGUGAAAUCCCCGGGCUUAACCUGGGAAUGGCAUUUGGGACUGCAAGGCUCGAGUGCGGCAGAGGAGACUGGAAUUCCUGGUGUAGCAGUGAAAUGCGUAGAUAUCAGGAGGAACACCGAUGGCGAAGGCAGGUCUCUGGGCUGACACUGACGCUGAUGCGCGAAAGCCAGGGGAGCAAACGGG
rnacentral:rRNA from 1 species